rnacentral:misc_RNA from 1 species
GCCUGAAAUCAACAGAGAAAUGGAAGAGAUAAAGUAUGAUGGACAAAAUUGAUGAAUAAGUAAAUAAUGCAUACAGGUUAGAGUGUAAAAUAAGUAUCAUAGUUGAAGCAACUAAGGUGUUUGAAAAUAAAAAUUGAAACUGGAAAAAGUAAUAUAACAGAAAAAUUAGGAGGAUUAUAGGAGACAAAAAGACUACAAAUUAAGAUAGGCUAAAAGAAAUAGAAAACUAAAGAUAGAAUUCACACUUUGCACUGGCUAUUGGUGGCAU